rnacentral:rRNA from 1 species
GGAAGAUUAAUACCGCAUAAAGAUUGUAGUAUCGCAUGAUAUAGCAAUUAAAAGGAGCAAUUCGCUAUAAGAUGGACCCGCGUCGCAUUAGCUAGUUGGUGAGGUAAUGGCUCACCAAGGCGACGAUGCGUAGCCGACCUGAGAGGGUGAUCGGCCACAUUGGGGACUGAGACACGGCCCAGACUCCUACGGGAGGCAGCAUG